GACGAACGCUGGCGGCGUGCUUAACACAUGCAAGUCGUACGGAAAGGCCCUGCUUUUGUGGGGUGCUCGAGUGGCGAACGGGUGAGUAACACGCGAGUAACCUGCCCUUGACUUUGGGAUAACUUCAGGAAACUGGGGCUAAUACCGGAUAGGAGCUCCUGCUGCAUGGUGGGGGUUGGAAAGUUUCGGCGGUUGGGGAUGGACUCGCGGCUUAUCAGCUUGUUGGUGGGGUAGUGGCUUACCAAGGCUUCGACGGGUAGCCGGCCUGAGAGGGGGACCGGCCACAUUGGGACUAAGAUACGGCCCAGACUGCUACGGGAGGCAGCAGUGGGGAAUAUGGCACAAUGGGCGGAAGUCUGAGGCAGCAACGCCGCGUGCGGGAUGACGGCCUUCGGGUUGUAAACCGAUUUCGCCUGAGACGAAGCGUGAGUGACGGUAAUGGGUAAAGAAGCACCGGCUAACUACGUG
rnacentral:rRNA from 1 species